rnacentral:lncRNA from 1 species
AAUUGAGAAACAUUCUGUGUAAAAUGUAGUAUAGUGGGAAGACACAAGUUGAACAGUGGGAUGGACAUAUUUCAAAGCGUCAAUUAUGUGUUAACACGAAUUGGCAUCUGAAAAUGAGGAUUUCAAAUCCGCAAUUCAAGAAUUCAAACCAUAGGCCAAAGCUAAAAGCAGCUUUUAUUGGCUGGUAAAGAUUAAAAACGUAUGGAGAUUUUGUAUCGAGUAGAAACUGACUUCAGUAUCUAUGCUCCAUUUUCUCCUUCUCCUGGUACCACUGCACGUACCUGCACACACAACCCCGAGUAUGAGAGAGCAAACCUCAUCAUAUAGUUCCUAAAUUAUCUCUCACAACAGCAUUUGCAGCAACAAAAUCGAGGCAUUCUGAGAAUCAAUGCAAUGGCUUGGCCAAUACCUACCAUCCAACAUAUAACUCAAAUGCAUUGAACUAGUAUGUCAUUUUAUCAAUAACUGUAAGAAAGGAAAUGCUGGUAUGAUGAACAGUAAGCCGGCAGUAAAUUAUAAACUCUCGUGACCAAAUACAAGCAAUAAAGGAACACAAUUCCAUCUCAUAUGCAAACAACCGUCCCAAGAAAAAUCAAUGAGCACUUAAAAUACUCAAAAAGGAUUUCUGCUAAAGUGAGAGUAAAACAAUCAUUCAAGUGCAAUCAGCUGUCCAGUUACAACUAAACAUGGGUUCUUAUUGAAGAGUCAGUUGAACUUGAAAGAAAAAUGACAAUGUAUUAGGGAAAUAUUUUAUAAUCUAGAUAAUGACACGAUGAUGGCAAAAAUGAUUCAGGGACCUAACUCUACAUAAACUGGGAACAAGGCUUAAUUUGUUAUUAUUGCAACUUGUUAUACUUCCAUUGCAAUUCAUUAAGACUGCUAAAACGGCAGUUAGUUUGUCAU